CUUAGAGGUGGGAUGGGGCAGUCGGUAUCAUCGGCUCCAUUUUACAGCAGCAGAAACUGAGUAAAUUAACUCGCCUAGGGUCCUCACUCUGGAAAGUGGCAAAGCCAGGGUUCAAUUCGAGGUCAGGCCCCUAAACUACCUACCGACGCACCCCUCCCUGUCGUCACCUUUACAAGGCUGGGUAGGGAGGCCUGGGAGCAUAAUCUUUCUUCAGUCUGUUUCCCCCCAUCCGUCCAGAUCCUUGCCAGCCGCUGGAGCGAUCACCGGCCAGUCCGCAGUUAGGACAACUACCUGCCCGCGCGAGACCUCAUGGAGUUUAUGACCAGAGCCUUUACCAGCCGUCGGCGGUUUAUAGGAAAUCCUACUCACCUGAUGGACUAUGACACACUCCCAGAGAAGUACUGGCUCACUGACACCGCGAUGGAGGAGCCUAGGACUUACAACAACGCUACAACUGGUUCCUGUUUCCAGUACUGAACAAGGAGAAACCUCCCUGAAAAUGGAGCCUACACUGAAGGAAUAGAGUUGAGAAGUGAAGAUUAAGAAUCAAGUCCUUGUUUGAGCUCUGGAUCAAGCCUCACCUGAAGCCAAACUCAUCCUAGACUGAAGUUGAACACCAGGAAGGCAGAGAUGGAGUCCAGGAGAUGGUGGAUGCUGGAAAUAUUCGGGAUCCAGGACCAUUUAUCUGGUAAUGCUUUGGCCUCCAGGACCGAAGGUGAUAGAGAACCAUUCCACUCUGGCCCCUGGCAGUCUACCCUCCACCUCGCUGUGUCUUUUGGCCAUCUGAACGGAAGGCUGGGUCAUCACCAAGCUCCUGGGCCCCUCUUGUCCAGUAAGGUGUCCUUUGGCACCCAGCAGCAAUGACUCAUCUAGACUAAUCUCUGCUGUCUCAGAAUCCUGGUCAGAUUGGCUAGCUGCUCCUACCCUGAGGCAACCAUGGGAGAAUGGACAGUAAACUCCUAGGUCCUUGUUAGUGUGGAGAUCCCUGUUGCCCUUGAACUGUGGCUGCUACAGAAGACUGGGACUUCUUCCAGUCUUCUUCUUCUAGCCAGAUUCUGUGCCUCAGGCAUGAUGCCAAAAGGAGAACUUCCUCCUGGCCACUUGCAUCCCUUGGCCAGAGUUAGCAAAUCAAGCUCGCACUGGGAAUGCACAGCCCGCAAAGGACCCUUUGGGAAGGUGCUGGAGACUUGAAGGAGGAUCGACUGGACUUCUGAACAGAGGAGCUUGAGCAUUUGCAUUCUGGGGUUGGGACUGGGGCAAGUUAGUUACCCCCUCGCCCCAAUUAUGCCGAGGCGCAGCCCUUAUACCUGCUACUUGUGACAAUCAGUGACAUUUUGAAAAUCUGCCACUAGAGUCUCUUCCACUUUCCCCAACACCCCCUGCCCUCUACCCCUAUUAUUGAUCAAAAAGUCUCCACUGGAGUCUCCACUUUUCCUGCCCUAACCCUCGCGGCCAAGUGUUCCUUAUCUCAAAGCAUGUUUAUGAAAUCUAUGGUGGGGUCCACAAUGUGUAAGAAGUGGAUGUGAGGGUGUUAAGUUUUGUGUGAUACUGGGAAACUCCCACUCCAGUUAACAACCUCCCUUAAUUGGCUUAUAUACACUCCCCAGUGGAAGUGAUUGAGUUUCUGUGCAAUUGUUUCAGCCUUUGUUAUCAAGGUCUUUUGGGAUUUUUUUCUUUUCUUUUUUCAAUCUGAACUGUUUCAAUUACUUUUUCAUCUUGUUUUGUCAUCCUGGUACCUUUAACACAGAUGCUCUGAUAUUUCAAACCAAUGGACGGCCUGGCAGCUCAGGGCAU